AUGCUUGGCGGGAGCUUGACGGGCAAGCAGCGGGGUAUCCUCAGCCGCGUAGCCGAGGACAUUUUUAACUCGCCCGAUGCUUCCACCUGCAGUGUCAGAGUGUCCUUCUAUCACAUUUCCAAUGAGAAGAUCUAUGAUCUGCUGGACAGCCAUCCCUCGGAGGUGAGCCGCAUCCACGAGGGGGAGGACGCGGUGGUGCUGGAGGGCCUGAAGGAGGUGGAGGUGGGCUCCCCACAGGCCCUGCUCCAGGUCUACCGAUGUGGGGCCACCAAGAGACAAGCAGGCACCUCCAAGGGUGACUUUGCCAGCAGAAGUCAUGCUAUAUUCAACAUAACGGUGAUCAACACAAAGGCCAGCCUUGGUGAGCUUAUAUUUCACAAACAAGUUUUACUUUCCAGAAACACCUUUUGACAUAUAGUUUGUUUCCACCCACGAAACAAAACACAAAGGAUAAAGAAACCAGAAACUGUAGAGACUCUGAGCACUUUGUCCAUCUCCGUUCCAACAGCUGUCAUCAGCAGAGAGGCUGAAGUGAAACCAGCGUGAUAACAUUCACUACGGUUCUCCCUCAUAACCUCAUUAUUGCAAUUCUCUUCUGUCAAUAACCACAUUAAAAAACAAA
rnacentral:lncRNA from 1 species